GUGUCGCCAAGGCUAUCCGACUUACCACUCACCAUAUCGCCAGUUAUCUUUGCUCUGCUCUAUGUCAUGCCGCUGCAGUUCCCCGAUCUCCUACUUACUAGCGUCGCCAUCCAGGUAGUUUGGUGGGGAUUGGGGGUGUCACUGGGCGUCCAGAUGAUAAGAUCCCACCGUGAGCUGGUGCUCUGCUCCUCGCCGCUGGUGGUCGUGCUACAUCGACGUGUAGUUCGUGGGCUGUGUCGUGCGCUUCGCCGGGCCAUGGAGUGUGGUAUACCUGUUGUUGAUGUUUAUGACCGAUGUGUAGCACUGAGCCCUGCUAGGCACUUAAUUACACUGUUGAAUUUUGCACUUAAUGUUUUUCAUUUAUGUAAGUUUAUUCCCUUCGAUGCUGCUAAAUUACUGAUCCAAGGUACCUUUAUAGUUGUACCUUAUAAUGUUGUCUGAAGUCUCAAUGCAGCACAUAAUAUGAUUGAAUGCGAGGCAUGAAUCUUAGCGGAGGCCAGAAGCGAAGAAUUCAGAUAGGCCGAUCAUUGCUUCAAGAUGCUGAGAUCUGUUUGUUCGAUAAUCCAUUCAGUGCAGUUGACACUCAUACAUUAUCCCACCUUUUCAAGGAAUGCUUGCUUGGGGCUUUUCUUAAAAAACAGUGGUUCAUGUCUCUCACCAGAUUGAAUGCCUGCCUGCAUAUGAUCUUAUUUUGGUACUGAAAGGCGAGAGAAUAGCACAAGCAGGCAAAUACAACGAUAUACUUAGUUCAGGUGAGGAGCUAAUGGAAACUGUUGGCGCUCACCAAGAUUCUCUAACAACAUUGGAUGUAUUGAUGUAGCUAAUGGAGGCAAUUAGACAUUCUAUCAGCCUAUUCAGGUCAUUGUCAUCGGUUUUAGAGAAAGAUGAACAAAAUGACAAAGAAGACGGUGACAAGAUUCAAAGUGCUCAGGUGGUGCAUGAAAAAAGGAAAAAGGCCGGGUGGGGUUCUAGGUCUACUGGAAGAACCUCAGAUUGGCUUAAGGGGGAGCUCUUGUACCGUUCGUGUUGAUAGCACAAUUACUUCUCCAAGUACGCCAAAUUGAUAACAAUUAUUGGAUGGCCUGGGCUUCUCCUGUGUCCAAAGACGCCGAGCCUCCAGUGAGCACGUCGACACUGAUCUAUGUCUUUGUGGCAUUGGUUGUUGCAAGUUCGAUGGGCAUACUCGCAAGGUCAUUUUUUUUUUCUGUGACAGCUACAUACAAAACAACUCUGUUGUUCAACAAGAAGCACAUGGCCAUAUUCAGAGCUACUGUGUCUUUCUUCGAUUCCACUCGAAGUGGGGGCAUCUUGAAUAGAGUGGACGAGGAGGAGGCAGAGCAAGAGACGAGAGCCAUCGGCAAGGAAGGGACACAGAUCCAGUUUUUCCAGCGUCGCCUCAUCAUCGCCUCUUGCUGGAUCAGCACCAGUGACUUCCUCGUUGAUAGACAUCGGCCAGGGCAAGUUCAGGGGAGGCGGUUCCUGGGCUGGUCAGCUGACAUCCACGGCGGCGGCGGCCUGAGAGAGAGCCAUCAGGGAAGGAAGCUGUAAGGCCUUCCACUAUGUAGGCCAUAAUCGGUGCCAAAU